UGGGCAUUCAAAUAAUGAGUACUUUUCGGUGAAAAGGAGUUUCUUGUUCAUCUAUGUUAUUCUAGAGCAUUGUUUGUGUGGGGAAAAAAUGAAUUUUUCUAUGAAGAAGAGUCUCUUUUGAACACUCUACAGGCUUUGAAACUACUACGGCAAAGACUUCUUUUUAAUCUUAGAAAACUUAUCUAGUUCUUCAUUUAAUUUUUUUUUGUAUGAA
rnacentral:lncRNA from 1 species